rnacentral:snRNA from 1 species
CAUCCUAGUACUACUCUCG